UGUUGGCUUCAAUAAGCUCUGUGUUGCACCU
rnacentral:piRNA from 1 species